AAAACUCAGUGUUCAUUAAAAAAAACACAUUUCACUAUUGUUCUAGCCUGUUGUGCAGAUGGGACAAAGCUACCACCUAUGGUCAUCUUUAAAAGAAAAAUGUUUACAAAAGAAAAGAUUCCAAAUGGAGAUAUUGUCCACGUGCAUGAAAAAGGAUGGAUGAAUGAAGAAGGCAUGAAAAUAUGGUUUAACAAAGUCUGGUCACAAAGGCCUGGAGGGUUACUU